rnacentral:rRNA from 1 species
UACAGAGGGUGCGAGCGUUGUCCGGAAUCACUGGGCGUAAAGGGCGCGUAGGUGGCGGCCCAAGUCCGUGGUGAAAGCUCGCCGCUUAACGGCGAGUCGGCCACGGAGACUGGGUGGCUCGAGCACUGUAGGGGCAGAUGGAAUUCCGGGUGUAGCGGUGGAAUGCGUAGAGAUCCGGAGGAACACCAGCGGCGAAGGCGGCAUCCUGGACUGGUCCUGACACUCAGGAGCGAAAGCGUGGGGAGCGAUCCGG